UAAUAAAACAAAAAAGGAUCCUACGUCAUCUUCUUAAAUUUCUUUUUAUUUUCAACCAAAACUCCAUGGUUGAAACCUUAGAACAAUCGGCCAAGCUUCAUUUCUUAUGCAUGGUAUGUUGUUCAAGCCUGUUUCUUGUAAAUUUUAUGUUUUUAAAAUCGUUACAGCUUAAUCUAUCUAGCCUAGGGACUAUUUUGAAAUACUAUCAAAGAUUUGAAAAUUUUCCAUUGAUAUUCUUGAAGCUUUUUAGUUGUUAAUGGUUUAGUUUGGAGCUUGAUGAUGAAUUUGGAUUAAUUUAUAAAGUGAUUUUCAUAGUUUUGAGUUUAAGGAUUGAAAUGAUUAAAUAUUGAAAUUUGCUUCAUUUUCUUGUAAAAUUUUAGAAUUUGAGGGGUGUUUAGGGAUUUUUAAGAAUUCAGCACUAUGGGUUAAGGAGUAAUUAUGAAAAUAAACUUGUUUCGAUUUUAGGGACUAAAUUGAAUAAAAUGAAAAGGUUUAAGGAAAUUGUGAAAAAUAUCAAUAAGAAGUCAUAUGCAUCAAAUGGAUCGUUAUAAAGUAUUUUGGGCUAAUAAUCGAAAUAAAAAUUACUGUAUAGAUCAAGAACCGGUAGAUAAUUGUGGAAAAGAGAAAAUUAUUUUUUAGUCCAUGAUAUUGUCAUCUUUGCUAUUUAACCCUGGUAAGUUUAUGCGGUUUUUUUUUUGUGUAUUUUUGUAAUUUUAUUGUUGAAAUUCUAUAAAUUGAUGACAUUAGUUAUAAACUGAGAUGCUACAAUUGAACUGGUGAAAAAAUGGAUUGAAAUGUAAAUUGUUAUGCGAUUACAUGUAUUGAGCCUGGAUGAACAUAGGAUAGGAUACAGUUUGCAUGCCAAUUGAUUAUUUUGUGUGCUGUACCGAAUUUGACUUGUGACGAGAUGAUGAUUCAUGACUUGUUAUUGUACACUGAAUAUACUAGAGUCCAACAUUUGUUGCGAAUUACCGAGUUAUAUUUACAAUGAUUCUCGUGUGUUUCUAGGGGUGGAUGUAAAGCCUAUAGGCUUAACACUUGGUGCCUAAACGUGUUUAUGGAGGGAUGUUAACCUAUGGGAUAGGCACUUAGUGCCCAAGCGUGUUCUUGGUUGGAUCGGCUCGGUUGAGUAUUUUGGCAUGUUUUGGGUGGAUAACCACAUAUCCAUAUAUGUUCAUCAAGCUGAAUUUCAAUGGUUAAAUGACAUGACUUUGAUAUGUACUUGAUAUUUGGUUAUAAUGCAUUGUUGAUCACUUGUAUAUGUUUUCAUGAUUUCCAGUAUUACAAUAUAACUUGAUAUUGAAUGAUAUUGUGCAAAUGAGAUGAUUAAAUGACUUGUAUAUAUAAAACUCACCAAUUAAAUGGUUGUGG
rnacentral:lncRNA from 1 species